rnacentral:lncRNA from 1 species
AGACGUAUUCAAACAAUGCCAUUGCAAGAAGAUUUGAUGUUAAAGCUUUCCUCAGGUACACAGCAAAAUUUGUAGGAGGCAUUAUGACGAAUGUUCCAGGCGUAAACAUGAUAAUUAAUUGCAUUAGUGAGACAUGGUGUUUUUACAGUAAUUAUGAUGACCCUGAUCGAAACGUAAAAUGCUCCAUGUAUAUCAUUAAAUGUAUUUAUAAGCAGCUGACUGACAUAGGAACUUGUUUGUAUGAUCUGGCUGGAGACACAGCUAUUGAUUUACAUUAUAAUGGACUCAAUUUUCAUAAUUAUGAUCAUGUUACAAUUCUUUUGGACGUUCUUGCAUGUGCUGGUGUUAAUGCAUGGGCAAUGAAUUAUUUGCAAGAAAUGCUGAAAAAUUAGAUAUUCUGCGUUCGUAUCUUCGUAAAGUUUAUUUAAUGUGUAAAUGUUUGAAUUCGCUUUUACUAAACAUACUGUUCAAUGCGAUUUUUUUUGUAGUUUGGAGAUUUUUGGUCGUGACAUAAUUAUGUCAAAAAAAUGUCAAGUAGCGUCUUCCAGAUUAUUACAAGGCUUUCAUAUGAUAUAAAUAAGUAUUGGUAUUUUAGACAAAUUCUCUCAUAUAUUCGUUUCACAACUUCAAACAUCUUUCAAGAACUCAAAGAAGGAAAUAUCUGUUUCAAUACUGCCAUUUUGAUCACUUGAUAAUUAUAUUGAUAUAGACAGCAUUCUCAGUUUAAACAAAACUUAACCAAGAAAGCCGAUGUUGGUUAAGAUUUUAGUAAGGCUUUAGUAUAACUGUCUUAUACGUGAUUUUUUAGUCAAAUUUAUACAUUGUAGUUGUUAUGUAAUUUCUUUAUCAAAUUAUUUGCUGUAAUUAAUCAUUCGUUG